GCCCGCAUGGCUCAGGGGUAGAGCGUAUCACUAGUAGAGAUUCCUUCAAUGAUAAGGUCCUCAGUUCAAAUCUGAGUGUGGGCA